CUGGGUGCUGGCUGCCAUGUUCCCUUUCCAUUUGUGGGCAGCUCCACGCCUGCUGUAGGCUGAGAGCAAAGCUCAGGUGUGCUUUAUGGGCUGGGAUCACUGAUGUCCCAUCACAUUGUAACAACCAGAUUCACGUUACAAGAUGCUGCUGGCUGUGGCCUGGCUGGGGCAGCCCCCAGGAGCCGCAGCCCCCAGGAGCCACAGCCCUGGAGUGGUGCUCUGUGUCCCCAUGUCCUUGCAGGAAUGCCAGGGCUGUGCCCUUGCCGACUGGAGAAUGAUGGAUGAGCCCCAUCAUCAUACCACAAGCCUGGCAGGGCAGGCAGGGAGCAGCGACUGCUGUAAUAGGGUCAUGAUUUUCAAAACAAGGUCAAGCACCAUGCCUGUGGGUGAGUAUCCUCAUCAGGGGAUGGCAGGAGCUGUUCGGACACGCAGGGUUGGAUUCCAGCUGAUCCUGACAGUGAGCAUCUUCCCUGCCCUGUGAUGACCUGGUGUCAUGCUCCUCGUGCUCAUCCUGACCCUGAUCUCUGUGUGCCUUGCCCACUCUUACUUUUGAUGUAACCUUGCUGGGAGGACUCAUGCUCUGUAUUUAAGGCCAGCAUGGACUCCCAUGAGUCCAGAAGGCUCAGUGCAUCCAUGGGCAGGUUUUUGGGGUGGGUGACCUCUGUGCAGCUGCAGCUCUACUGCAGGGUACCCAGGGUUGGCUUGCGCAUGAGUUACAAUUACAGUUGUAAUUACUGUGGGAGGAACUUUGCUGUAGAUUUGAAGGGUUUAAAUGGGGCAAAUCUUGUGGGAGAGGUAAUACCUUUUAUUAGGUGGAGAAAACAAAUCAGCUUUCAGGUACACAAGCCCUUCUUGACAUUAUCGUUGCUGUUAUUAUCCCAUAUUGGUGCUAUUAGGAACGAGGGCAUUGCAUUAGAGGGGAAGCACAUUAUGCAAGUGUUUAGACUUGCUGGUAACUGCUCUCUGCUGACAGCUAUUUGCUUAAUGAUAUGUUGGAGCAGAAGCCAACAGCAAGGACGAGCAGAAGGAGCACUGCCUGGGCUGUGAUGCUCUGGGAAGAGGGCUGCAAAGACCUGGUGGUGGAGGUUCUUACCCUCUGGCUCUAAGGAGACCUCCAAGUUCCAUCCUCUGUGUCUGAUAGGGCUCUGCCCUUGGUAUAUUCCCAAUGGAGUGCCCUGAAGAGCUGGUAUGGGUUCAGGCUCAGUGCUGCUGCCAGUGCUGGAGGCAGAAAUGUCUGCCAGGCUCUAAAGGUGUGAAUGUGACUGGUCAUGUUCUCAGUGUCAUGUGCUGUCCGGGGCGGGUGGCAGAGCCAGUUUUUCUGCUUCCAAAGUGAGACUUGGGGAGGAGACCGCAAUGCUCAAAUAGCCACCACUCUGCCUGCUGCCAGUUAGAUGCCGAGGAGCCCACUCACCUUUCCUGCUUCAGGUGUGAGCACCUCGUGCCCCAGAGCCCUUUGGCUGUGGUGAAAUGUCGACGAUCCUGAAAUGGUUUGGAAGGGAAGAUAAGGAGAGAGAGGAGAAGGAAGAG